UAUAGGGUGGUCCCAGCUAACUUUAACCAGGGUUUCAACAUAUGCUCAUGCACUAAGGCGACGUGACCAAAUGCACUGCUGACUAUUGUAUGCUGUAAAUCACACAAUUUCUUGUAUUUUUCUUUAUUGCAUAAUUAGUCAAGAUUAAUUAGUCAACUUUUCAAACAACGAAGUUAGGCAACCAAUUCUAAUUAUAACGUUGUAGAGCCCUUUGCAAAACGUCCGAUUAAACUGUCUCUAACUUUCUAUCUGUUAGGUGUUACUCUUUCUCCGCUUAUUGCAGAUGUCCGCGAAAUACAAAAAAAAAAAGAAAAAAAUACCGCGUGACAUGCCCGCUUUCGCGCCGCGAUUGCAGCGCUCUCAAACUUUUCUCGUACAAACGAAGAUAGCAUCUAGCAGGGUGAGCUGCCACUUAAAAGGCGACAGGCCAGUGACGCAGGCGUUGGGUCUGCGAUUUACGCCACCAUUGUGCUUCCUUCGUGUUCAUGAUAGCAAUAAGCAGGUGCAGCGGCAGCACACCCGGCUAAAUGCUCGGUCUGUUCGAUUCGGCUGCACCACUUGAACCAGUUCACGUGGUGCCGCAGCUUGCCAUUAGUUUCAGCAGUGCAACCUCCCCGCCCGCACCCUGGCGCUCGUUUCAAAAAGUGAAGCAAAGGUGCAGCGCUGGUGCAGGAAUUUUCGGAACCUACUUUUCCGGUGGUGCCGCAUUGGUGUACGCAUGGUUCACGAUAGUUGACGACCUUGCAGACGAUGGAGCAGACGAUGUCGCUCCAUCGAGGGCACGACUUCUCCACGCUUUUUCGUGCCGGUCGGCGGGAUUCAAACACAGGUUACGCCUGUAGUCAGCGAGGAUGGGACCCACGUUCCACUCAGUGAUGGUUUUGCAUACAGAACGCCAGGCAAAGCAUUACAUCGACGUUCGAAUUUGAACAGGAAGGUGGAGGUUACAACAAAAUGACACCUCCGGACGGAUUGCUACUGGUUCUGAUCCUUGAAGAACGUGAAGAUGCAGCUGCGACGAGCGAAGAGAUGAAACCUGAUUGUAUGCUGUGGGUGAAACGUGGUUCAAGUAAUGAAGCCAGCAGAUGCGAACAAUACUUCAGACAACAUUGCGCAGGAGAAGACUCAUCUUACAUUGGUAGUGAAGCGCAAUGCCAAAAAGAGGACUCUGCGGCUGGGGCGAAGAAGCCCGGUAGCUCGUAGGCAAGGGGUAUAAUUCAGUCAAGGCUGAGCGUGAAAGGGUAAUAGAUACAGCACUGAGGUUUAUCACUUACUUUUUACGCAACCGCAAUAAAAUUGUUUUUUAUUGAAAUAAUUAAUAGUACAAGUUGGUGCUUUCAUGGCGGCCCCGGCUACUCCUUGUCACUUAGCAAAGGA